rnacentral:lncRNA from 1 species
UUUGAAUACAUGAACAGACUCACAAUGGAGAGAUAUCUUGAAAAUGCAAAUGACAGGGCAAAGUCUUCCCUGUUCACAGUUUCUUUAAUCACCAAGAGAGGACUCACAGUGGAAAGGAAACAUAUAGGCUCCCAGUCCCCAGCUGCUGAGGAGCCGAUUGAUGUGAGCGUGAUGGCCAGUCCCUGCUUCUCUGCCUUCCAAUCCACUACGGUAUGAGAAACACUCCCCACAAGCUCCCAGAAUAAAGCCACUGAGCCAAGGUGCUAUGCUUUUACCUCCAUGAUGG